CAUUAGAUGACUGAAAAGCAAGUACUGGUCUCUUAAACCAUUUUAUAGUAAUUUAGCGAUUACUUCUAAUGA
rnacentral:tRNA from 1 species